UCCCAGACUCCUACGGGAGGCAGCAGUAGGGAAUUUUGCGCAAUGGGGGAAACCCUGACGCAGCAACACCGCGUGAAUGUUAAGCCCUUCGGGGUGUAAAGUUCUGUCAAUAGGGACGAAUUUUGACUGUACCUAUAAAGGAAGCACCGGCUAACUCCGUGCCAGCAGCCGCGGUAAUACGGAGGAUCCGAGCGUUAUCCGGAUUUAUUGGGUUUAAAGGGAGCGUAGAUGGGUUGUUAAGUCAGUUGUGAAAGUUUGCGGCUCAACCGUAAAAUUGCAAUUGAUACUGGCAGUCUUGAGUACAGUUGAGGUAAGCGGAAUUCGUGGUGUAGCGGUGAAAUGCUUAGAUAUCACGAAGAACCCCGAUUGCGAAGGCAGCAUACCGGCGCCCAACUGACGCUGAAGCACGAAAGCGUGGGUAUCGAACAGGAUUAGAUACCCGAGUAAA
rnacentral:rRNA from 1 species